GACGAACGCUGGCGGCGCGCUUAACACAUGCAAGUCGAACGGAAAGGCCUGCUUUCCCUUGUGGAUUGCGGGUACUCGAGUGGCGAACGGGUGAGUAACACGUGAGUGAUCUGCCCCCAACUUGGGUAUAAGCCUGGGAAACUGGGUCUAAUUCCCGAUAGGACUGCAGGGUGGUGCCUGUGGUGGAAAACGAUUUUCUAGUGGUUGGGGAUGAGCUCGCGGCCUAUCAGCUUGUUGGUGGGGUAAUGGCCUACCAAGGCGGCGACGGGUAGCCGGCCUGAGAGGGUGGACGGCCACAUUGGGACUGAGAUACGGCCCAGACUCCUACGGGAGGCAGCAGUGGGGAAUAUUGCACAAUGGGCGGAAGCCUGAUGCAGCGACGCCGCUUGGGGGAUGACGGCCUUCGGGUUGUAAACUCCUUUCGACCGCGAGGAAGCCACCUGGUUGGAAGGGUGGUGACGGUAGUGGUAGAAGAAGCACCGGCUAACUACGUG
rnacentral:rRNA from 1 species